UACGAAGGGUGCAAACGUUGCUCGGAAUCAUUGGGCGUAAAGCGCACGUAGGCGGCUUCGCAAGUCGGAUGUGAAAUCCCUCGGCUCAACCGAGGACGUGCAUCCCGAAAACUGCGAAGCUUGAGUACUGAAGAGGAUCGCGGAAUUCCCGGUGUAGAGGUGAAAUUCGUAGAUAUCGGGAGGAACACCAGUGGCGAAGGCGGCGAUCUGGGCAGUUUUACUGACGCUGAGGUGCGAAAAGCGUGGGGAGCAAACAGG
rnacentral:rRNA from 1 species